AGACUGCAGUACCCGUUGUCAUGUCACCACAGAAAGAAGGAUGCGACUGUAAAUUCUGAAGCAGUGGAUGUGAUUGGAGGCGAGCAGAAAGAUGAGGCUGCUUCAUGUCCAGACCGGAGCAGGACUGCCACAGCAACCCCACAGUCCAAACAUGUUGCUCCCACAAUCAGUGCAGAUGAGGAAACUCUUAAAGCAGGCUCAGGCUGAGCUUGCAGUCCCUGGAAGUCCAGAGAAGAGCUCAGAGCCAGCUGUUCCUCAAAGUCACCCAGACACAAGCCAAGCACUGAGCGCUCCCCCUGCCCGCUGUUCCCCUCCCCGAUGAUGGACUUAGAGACAGACUUUCCAACAGAAUCACUUGUUCAGAAGUUCCACUCCAAAGCGAGGAGUGAAGAGACCCAGAGAGGGUUCCUCUGGCUGGAAACGGGUGCGACGUCCCUGAUUACUUUAGAAUUCUUGAAAUGAAGGGCGACUCACUGUGACACCAGGUGAGUCUUUCUUGCUGUGUGCUUUCGUGGAGUAUUCAUUAACUUUCUUUGCAGGGUGGAAGGCGGUCUGGUUCUUUGGAGCGAAGCACAGCGGCAGCUCUGCCCAUCUCCAAAUUAAACCACAUCCUGUCCAGAGAAUGUUGACGAAGAUGUCUUUCAGUGCAGCUCUUCUGAGCUGAGCGUUGCUCUGUCUCGUUUCAUCAGAGAAGUACGGCGGCCUAAUGGAGAUGCCUACAGCCCUGACAGCAUCUUCUACGUCUGUCUGGGGAUACAACAGGGCCGCAUAGAGAACAUCUCCACUGACGAGAUGUAUUGUGACUUUGCUUCGGAAAUCACUGGGAUACUCCAAGUUUGGAAACCGAAGCAGCUACCUGGUGGUUGUGUUGUUUCCUCUUGUAUCGAGGAGUCCUACCUGUGGGAAUGUAAGCAGCUGGGAGCAUACUCUCCAAUUCUGCACCAAAAACUUCAAGCUGACCACCCUGGCGGAGCACCAGCGCCUGUCCUUUUCCCAUCUGGCUCGCUGCUCUAAACCUUGCAGUGGAAGUGGCAAAGUCCACUACCUCUAGUACCAGAGAAGCAAGGAAACCCUUCCCAACUCUGAAGAGGCAGGUUUGUUUUAAACUCUGUAAAAAUCACCAGCACCUACACCUUUUCUCAUGCUGUGGUUGUUUUGUGAAAGUUUAAGGGUGAUUCUACUGUUUCGAGAGAAAAAGGCCUGGAGAGAACAAUGGAGACCUAGAGAUGGAGAGAACAAUGGAGACCUAGAUCUGGAGUGGUAGCACUCCGACUUUGAGUGCUACCACUCCAGAUGCCCGGAGUCCGUGAAGAGAAGAGACCUGUUUUACCUCCAGCCUGAGCAGAAUGUCCACACUCAAAGCCCCCACUGGUUCACUGAUCAGUCAUUGGACAGCAGCUCACUACAGAGCAUGCUCACAUCAUUCUGGCCGUCAGAGAGGUCCAGCAGACACACCAGUCCACAGCCGACUCCGAGGGCGACGACUUGCUGCCACGCCGCCCUCUCCGCCGCAGGAUGCUCACUCUGAAACGCCAGGUAGCUCACAGAGAGGUCGGGCUGGACGCAUACAGCUGCCAGGUCGUGUGAAACAAACACAGACAGUUUUAACGGUGAGCACGACGACCACACACUGAGGGGGUUUGAUCUAGUGACUGCAGUGACUGUCCGCUGCUCUCCACAGCGCACAAGGAUUUCACAAACGUGGAAUUGCAUGAGACAGCUCCGCAGCAGCCGCCGCGCUUACCACGGAUAUAUCCACUGUCUGCUGAACAUCCACC